GGACCCGCACAAGCGGUGGAGCAUGUGGUUUAAUUCGAAGCAACGCGAAGAACCUUACCAAAUCUUGACAUCCUUUGAAAACUCUAGAGAUAGAGCCUUCCCCUUCGGGGGACAAAGUGACAGGUGGUGCAUGGUUGUCGUCAGCUCGUGUCGUGAGAUGUUGGGUUAAGUCCCGCAACGAGCGCAACCCUUAAGCUUAGUUGCCAUCAUUAAGUUGGGCACUCUAGGUUGACUGCCGGUGACAAACCGGAGGAAGGUGGGGAUGACGUCAAAUCAUCAUGCCCCUUAUGAUUUGGGCUACACACGUGCUACAAUGGACAAUACAAAGGGCAGCUAAACCGCGAGGUCAUGCAAAUCCCAUAAAGUUGUUCUCAGUUCGGAUUGUAGUCUGCAACUCGACUACAUGAAGCUGGAAUCGCUAGUAAUCG
rnacentral:rRNA from 1 species